rnacentral:ribozyme from 14 species
GAAGAAAGACAGAAAAGAACCAAUUUUCCCACCGUAAUUCUACUUGAGUCGUAGUGAGGAUAGUUUAUUUAUCCUUCUUCUUUUUCUUCUUCUUAUCCUUCUUUUCCUUUAUUGAUUUGUUGAGUGUAGAAAGGGGGGGGAAGCAUGAAAAAGAAAGCUGAGAGAUAAAGUCUCAAGCGUACAUUGUUCUAUGAAAUAAAAACGACAGUGAAAAAAAGAGCUAA